rnacentral:rRNA from 1 species
CCUACGGGGGGCAGCAGUAGGGAAUCUUCCACAAUGGGCGAAAGCCUGAUGGAGCAACGCCGCGUGGGUGAAGAAGGUCUUCGGAUCGUAAAACCCUGUUGUUAGAGAAGAAAGUGCGUGAGAGUAACUGUUCACGUUUCGACGGUAUCUAACCAGAAAGCCACGGCUAACUACGUGCCAGCAGCCGCGGUAAUACGUAGGUGGCAAGCGUUAUCCGGAUUUAUUGGGCGUAAAGGGAACGCAGGCGGUCUUUUAAGUCUGAUGUGAAAGCCUUCGGCUUAACCGGAGUAGUGCAUUGGAAACUGGGAGACUGGAGUGCAGAAGAGGAGAGUGGAACUCCAUGUGUAGCGGUGAAAUGCGUAGAUAUAUGGAGGAACACCAGUGGCGAAAGCGGCUCUCUGGUCUGUAACUGACGCUGAGGUUCGAAAGCGUGGGUAGCAAACAGGAUUAGAUACCCCUGUAGUC